rnacentral:tRNA from 1 species
GGGUAUAUAGCUUAAUGGUAGAGUGCAUGCUUAGCAUGCAUAAGGUCCUGGGUUCCAUCCCCAGUACCUCUA